AACGCAUCUUGCGCUCUUUGGUAUUCCGAAGAGCAUGUCUGUCUGAGUGUCACGAAACUCUCAACCUCCUUUCCUUUGUGAUCGGCUGGUUGGAUCAUGGGUGCUUGCCGGCCAGGUCCGCUCGCCUGAAAUGCAUUUGCGAUGUUGUGUCCUUGUGAGUUGGCCUGACUAGGCGUGAUGGUAACGACGUUCGUCUAGGAUCCCGCUUCGGCGAGGAGCCGCUCCUGUUGGGUGUUUGCGUUUGCCUUCGCAUGAACACUCAUAUCUUUGGUUUAGACCUCAGAUCAGGCAGGAUUACCCGCUGAACUAAA
rnacentral:misc_RNA from 1 species